CACAGUUUUGGUCCUAAACUUGCCAUUAUUUUUAAUCAAAAUUAUACAUGCAAGCCUCUACACGCCAGUGCAAAUGCCCACACGCCCCUAAACAGCCCAUCGGAGCAGGCAUCAGGAUUCACCUUGUUAGCCAACGACGCCUUGCUACGCCACACCCCCACGGGCACCCAGCAGUAAUUAACAUUAAGCAUAAACGCAAGUUCGACUUAGUUAUGAUUAAUAAUGAUCGGUAAAUUUCGUGCCAGCCACCGCGGUUAUACGAAAGACCAAAAAUAAUGGCCCCCGGCGUAAAGCGUGACUCGAGCCGUGUCAAGAAAUUUAAAGCAAUAUGACCGCCAAGUUGUAAAACACUACUGUAUGUCAGAUCAUCAACACCACGCCUUUAAAUAAUAGACUACUUUACCUCACGAAAACCAAGGAACAAACUGGGAUUAGAUACCCCACUAUGCUUGGCCUUAAACAAAAACAGUCAAACUACAAAACUGUUCGCCAGAGAACUACAAGCGAAAAACUUAAAACUCUAAGGACUUGGCGGUGCUCCACACCAACCUAGAGGAGCCUGUCCUAUAAUCGAUAUUCCACGCUUAACCUUACCCCCCCUUGAAACCCAGCCUAUAUACCGCCGUCGACAGCCUACCUUAUGAGAGAAAUAGUGUAAGCACAAUAGUUAAUGACUAAUACGUCAGGUCAAGGUGUAGCACACGGGGCGGCAGAGAUGGGCUACAUUCUCUACCAGAGAGAACACGAACAGUGUAUUGAAAUAUGCACUCGAAGGCGGAUUUAGCAGUAAAAUAAAUAAACACCCCUAUUUUAAGUCUGCUCUGGAGCGCGCACACACCGCCCGUCACCCUCAUCACCGCAACCACCAAAAGAAUUUAUCGCAAUUAUAUACCCCAGAUGAGGUAAGUCGUAACAUGGUAAGCGCACUGGAAAGCGCGCUUGGAAUAAC
rnacentral:ncRNA from 1 species